GGACUACCCGGGUAUCUAAUCCUGUUUGCUACCCACGCUUUCGUGUCUCAGCGUCAGAAGUGGUCCAGUAAGCUGUCUACACCACAGGUGUUCCUCCUGAUAUCUACGCAUUUCACCGCUACACCAGGAAUUCCGCUUACCUCUCCCACCCUCAAGCAUUCCAGUUUCCGGCGCACCCUCCCAGUUAAGCCGGGAGAUUUCACACCAGACUUGGAACACCGCCUACACACUCUUUACGCCCAGUAAUUCCGAACAACGCUUGCUGCCUACGUAUUACCGCGGCGGCUGGCAC
rnacentral:rRNA from 1 species